rnacentral:rRNA from 1 species
UGGGGAAUAUUGCACAAUGGAGGGAACUCUGAUGCAGCGACGCCGCGUGAACGAAGAAGGCUUUCGAGUCGUAAAGUUCUUUUAUAUGGGAAGAUAAUGACGGUACCAUAAGAAAAAGCCCCGGCUAACUACGUGCCAGCAGCCGCGGUAAUACGUAGGGGGCUAGCGUUGUCCGGAAUCACUGGGCGUAAAGGGUUCGCAGGCGGAAAUGCAAGUCAGGUGUAAAAGGCAGUAGCUUAACUACUGUAAGCAUUUGAAACUGCAUAUCUUGAGAAGAGUAGAGGUAAGUGGAAUUUUUAGUGUAGCGGUGAAAUGCGUAGAUAUUAAAACGAAUGCCGGUGGCGAAGGCGACUUACUGGGCUCAUUCUGACGCUGAGGAACGAAAGCGUGGGUAGCAAACAGG